rfam:Enterobacter aerogenes KCTC 2190, complete genome.
CAUAGCUGGUGGCGUCGUUCCUGGAAUCGGGCGGCGUGAUCGCGUUUUGCACUCAGCAAACAGAUACCGGGCCCGCCACUGAGCGGGCUUUUUUUU